rnacentral:lncRNA from 1 species
CCUAAGAAGGUUUCAGAUGCUCUGAAGAUGCAAAUCCAUUGGUGUCCAGCUCCUUUAUGACAUCAGUGCUUCUGUGGGUUGUCUGAGGAGCUAUGCCAAGGACCAGUGGGUAUUUUCUGUGGGCCGAGUAGUCUUCUGGGACAGUCUCCCAGCUUGGCCUCAGAGCCAUGUGUUAGUGAACAGCAGUGGCUGGUUUCCAAUAACCUGCAUUUAUCAAAGCAGGCUGGCAGAAGCACUGGCCCUAGCUUGCCAGUUUCUGACCCACCUAGUCAUGGGCAGCCCCACCCCCAGUUCCUUUCCAGGGUGGAGCACAACAGAUGACAGAAGAGGAAACCUAUAACUUCAACUUAAGCCUUCCAUCAAAAGAGCUGCA